rfam:Schistosoma mansoni strain Puerto Rico chromosome 7, complete genome
GCACUGCUGAGGAGUCCCACAACAGGACGAAACGGCCAUUCAGUGC